rnacentral:rRNA from 1 species
GAUGAACGCUGGCGGCGUGCCUUAUACAUGCAAGUCGAGCGGAAGCGCGGGAAUCGGCCUGCCGGCGAGUGGCGGGCGGGCGAGUGAUGAAUCCGAAGGUAACCAGUCGUGAGGGAUGGGACGACGUCGGGAGAAUUGAUCCAACAUCCGAUCUGAUUGUGAAACCGGGGGUCCGAAAGUCAAAGAGCUAUUUGCGCGGCCGUUUUCAGAUUUGCUCGCUGGAUUAGCUAGUUGGUAAGGUAACGGCUUACCAAGGCAACGAUGCAUAGCCGACCUGAGAGGGUGAUCGGCCACACUGGAACUGAGACACGGUCCAGACUCCUACGGGAGGCAGCAGUAGGGAAUCUUGCGCAAUGGGCGAAAGCCUGACGGAGCAACGCCGCGUGAGUGAUGAAGGUCUUCGGAUCGUAAAACUCUGUUAUUAGGGAAGAACAUAUGUGUAAGUAGAUGUGCACAUCUUGACGGUACCUAAUCAGAAAGCAACGGCUAACUACGUG